AAAGAACUGUAUGCGGUGGAUCACUCGGCUCGUGGAUCGAUGAA
rnacentral:rRNA from 1 species